UGGGGAAUAUUGCACAAUGGGGAACCGUAGCAUGCAGCCAUGCCGCGUGUAUGAAGAAGGCCUUAGGGUUGUAAAGUACUUUCGGUGAUGAGGAAGGUACUUGGUCUAAUAGGCCAAGUAAUUGACGUUAAUUACAGAAGAAGCACCGGCUAACUCCGUGCCAGCAGCCGCGGUAAUACGGAGGGUGCGAGCGUUAAUCGGAAUGACUGGGCGUAAAGGGCAUGUAGGCGGAUGAUUAAGUUAGGUGUGAAAUCCCGACGAGCUCAACUUGGGAAUUGCAUUUAAAACUGGUCGUCUAGAGUAUUGUAGAGGAAGG
rnacentral:rRNA from 1 species